AAAUCCUAACGUCUACUCCUUCCCCUACGCAACUAGGUAAAUUUAUGAUGUUAUUUUAUUUUGUAUAUUUAUUUUAUAAAUAUUUGUAAAUAAUAUUAUUUAUCUUUUUUUGUUUAGGUUCAUUGCAACUAGACUAGAUUACAGUCUUACCCCGAAAAAUAAAAUAAUAUUUUAUCGUUAACUCUUGGAUCGUCUCCGAGCACAAGAUGUAUUACCACUAAAUCAU
rnacentral:lncRNA from 1 species